UUCGUCGUCGCGGUUAGAUUUAGAAAACUGCUAGAAAAAUCUGUCAUUCGUAUCUCUCGUGUUGAACAAAAUAAAACUUGCAGAUAACCGAGCUCCAGGCAUUCGUUAUCAUAUAAUUCAUUUCUGGUCUCCGUGGCGGGGAAACACGGUCAAGUUCAUUUUUCCAUACGGUUAUUUGGAGAUUUCAAGGACUAUGUAAAAAAAUCAGUUUAUUAUUCAUGGAAAUGGUGUGGUAGAAAAACCGAUGCAGUUUUUUGGCGAUAAUCAAUGGGGUGUAAGACUGCGCCAAGGAUGAGCGAUGCUACGAGGAUCGUGUUCACCUUGGCGUCGUUAGGAGCGGCUAACAAUCCGAUGAGUUUCCCAGGGGUGACCCCGAGGGAUCGUAGUCCGGCAGCGAGGGCGAGGGCCUCGGCCAAAAUGUCCUUGUACUUCAAGACUUCGCCAGUCGCAGCGUUCACCUACAUAAAAACAGUGCCCUAGAGAGGAUGGCGGGAUUUCCAUACUCUCGAGAAAUCCCUCGACACCUGUCCCAUGGAGAUGUGACAUCCUUCGUCGCCCAUUUUUCUGUUUACUAUUGUCGAAAUCGAUUUCGUUGAAUGGUGUGCU